AUGCACAUGAAGAAUUAACUCGGAUUCCCCUUCAGACAGCAUGGAUGAUGCAAAAUCGAGUUUUCUGAUGCA
rnacentral:snoRNA from 1 species